UGUGCAGAAUGGUAUGAACGGAUGAAGUUUACACCGGCCGCUAUUGAUAAGGCUAAGGUCGGUGGGACUUUUCGUCCGUUUCGACUGUUCGAGAGAAUCAU
rnacentral:pre_miRNA from 1 species